rnacentral:rRNA from 1 species
GACGUAGGAGGCGAGCGUUGUCCGGAUUCAUUGGGCGUAAAGGGUGCGCAGGCCGCGCGGGCAGUCAAAUGUGUAAUCCAGGGGCUCAACCCCUGAACUGCGCUUGAUACUUCCGCGCUCGAGCUUUGGAGAGGAGUCUGGAAUUCUCGGUGUAGCAGUGAAAUGCGUGGAUAUCGAGAAGAACACUUAGGGCGUAGGCAAGACUCUGGACAAAUGCUGACGCUCAUGCACGAAGGCUAGGGUAGCGAACGGG